rnacentral:rRNA from 1 species
UACAGAGGGUGCAAGCGUUGUUCGGAAUUACUGGGCGUAAAGCGCGUGUAGGCGGCGUCGUUAGCCGGAUGUGAAAGCCCUCGGCUCACCGAGGAAGUGCAUCCGAUACUGCGAUGCUUGAGUGUUGGAGGGGGUGGCGGAAUUCCCGGUGUAGCGGUGAAAUGCGCAGAUAUCAGGAGGAACACCGGUGGCGAAGGCGGUUCUCUGGGCAUGUCCUGACGCUGAGGAGCGAAAGUGUGGGGAGCGAACAGG